ACCUGGACGGGGUCAAUGGGCGAUCAAGAAGGCUCAUGGCCUAGGUUGGUGGCCUCCAUUGCACUUAGGAGGGGUGCCUGCCUAUGGUCUCCUCACUGUAGGAGAGCCAACGUCAUAAUUUGUUGCCGUGGGGGCCUGCGUACGCGCGGCCCCUGUCAAUUCUAUGGACAAACUUUCUUGCAAGUUCUCAACGUAAAAGGCCCAUUACCAAAUUAUUCGAAAAAAAGGCAAAUUGUUGAGGUUAAAUGCGUUUAUGAUGUCAGUGGACAGAGCUUUUGAUAUGCUGCAACUAAUUCACACCCAGAAAAUCAUUCAUUGUGAAAUUCACUCGAGCCACAUCAGCAGCUGUAUUUGUCAAUUAUAUUGUAGCCCGAGGGGGCACCUAAACCUACAAAAUCCUUAUUUAUGGGACUAUUUUUUUGAGAACAUU